CUCUGAAGUGCUGAGUGCAAGGCCUCUGCACGCGGCCCAUGUGAGCAAGUGAAACUAGAUGGAGCACAAGGGAAGAGGAAAAAAAGGAAAGAGGGCCAGAGAAAGUGUUUGCCCUUUCUCCAUGUAAGGAUUCAAGGAGAAAUGCUGCAGUCCAGAGAAGGCCCUCCCCUGACCAUGCCGGCCACCUCCAUCUCAGACCUCAGCCUCCAGAACGUUUUGCAGAUGAGGAAACAGGCUGAUGGAGAUUAAAUAGCUUGCCUACGGCCACCUGUUGGAAGGAAGAGGCAGCAUUCCAAAUUAGGGCAGCCUGCCUGGGAAGCCCAGGUUCCUACCCAACAGACGGCAUGAUCCUGCCAUAAGCAACCACACAAGAUGACCUAAACGGUCACAUCACCCUCCUUGCCCUCUCUUCCUCUCCCAGUGCCCUCCGGUCACCACCUCCAACCACUGCCUGUUACACCCUGACACUGACUUUCCAGGACGAGUCUAGAGCUAUUGAAAAGUUUGACUCUCCUGAGGUCAGAAGGCCUGAAGUCAGAAAAUAAUUUUCUUUAAAUGAGGUGUAUUUUAGAACAAGAUUUUAAAUACGCCAGGAAGAACUCGCUCUUUAAAGUUGUCAAAAAAAAAAAAAAAAAAAAAACCUGAAAAGUUGAGACAAGUUUUAUUUGGGGUGAAAUCAGGACACAGGUAAGCCCUGAGAGACCGCUCCCAGGAGGCGAGGGGGGAGCAGCAAAGGGAAGGUAGGAGGAACAAAAGAUAGAGAACCAGAGUCACCGAAGAAGAGUCACAGAAAACCAGUUUCUUUGGGAAGACUUGAAGGUCUGGGCUUCCUGGCACCACUCCCGUGCCAUGCACCUCAGCCAGUCUUCUUCCUUUCUUUGCUAAAGUCCCCCAGGGCUCACUGGCGCACCCUUGGGAGUGGCUGUCCUCAUAAGUGACCGUGACAUCUUUUGCUCUGUUCACUUAACUGCCCAGGAGGCAGUAUUUUGAAGGAUCUGAGGACAUAGCAAGAUAGAAGUCCUGAGCAUGAAGGGGGAGGGCAUGCGGCCAGGAACGGUUUUGCAGAUGUUUCCUGCUGGUGGCGUGGUUAUUACUGCUCGUCACAGCCAUCAGUUAUCACUGACUUUAGUGUUUUUCUGGUGGAUAUGAGGAGAGGCCAGAACUGGGCUCUUAAAGUCUUCUCCUAAAAAUAGCUGACUCUCUGAAGACCCGCUAUUCCAGUUUCCCCAGCGCCCAGAGGGCCUCACCCCUGGUCUCCACCCUGAGCCCUGCGCGGGGCUGCUGCACGUCGGCAGCGGCAGUGACUCAUGUUUUACUCCGUGUAGAGGGUGAUGGCAAGGGCCAAGCUUGAGUCCCCAAAGUAGUACCAUAAAUAAAUCAUUUCUAAGGCAAUAGUUGUGUGUGUGUGUGUGUGUGUGUGUGUGCGCACGUUUAUUGGGGCAUUUUU